AAAGUAGAAAUUUAAUUUUUGGUUUAGGUUUAUAUUGAUUUAUUAAUUGAAAUGGCAUUUGUUUGAUGGUUUAAGUAUUGAAUAUAGAAAUAAUUAUAUAAUUUAUAGUGAAUUAGUAUUGUAAAAGAAUAUUGAAAUAGUUUUGAAAAUUGUUUUUUAGAGAAGUAAAAUUGUUUUGUACCUUGUGUAUCAGGGUUUAUUAAAUUUUAAGUAUAGAUUUUAUUGAUCCCGAAUUAAGAAGAGCUAGUUUAUUAAGAUAGUUAUUGUAGUACCAAUAUUAUUAAUAGUAAAUUUGUAGUGAAAUGUUAGUCGUUUUUUAAUAUAUCUGGUUUUCUAAGAGGUGAAUUUAAUUCAGUAUUUUCAAGAAAAAUUUUGACUUUUAUAAGUGGUUUUUUGUUAGGGAAUAUAAUAUUUUAGGGGAUAAGCUCUAAAGUGUAUUUUAUACUUAUUAUUGAUUUUUUGAGAAUUGUAGGCUUUAAAUUAGCAAUCAAUUAAAUAGUGUUAUAAAUUAUUUAGUUAUGAUAUAAUUUUAUAAUAAUGUUAGAUGUUGUAUUAGAAUGAAUUAUAUAAUUUUGUUAUAGUUGUAAUAAUGAUGAAAUUAGUAUAUAUAUAUAUGUAGUGUAAAAAUUUUGUGAUUUUUGGUAAUUUAUUUAAAGGAAUUAGGCAAAAGAGUAAGAACAUAUAUCCGCCUGUUUAUCAAAAACAUGUCCUCUAGAGAAUUUAGUGUGAGGUCGGACCUGCCCACUGAUAAUUUAUUGAAGGGCCGCGGUAUUUUGACCGUGCAAAGGUAGCAUAAUCAUUAGUCUUUUAAUUGAAGGCUGGUAUGAAUGGUUUGACGAGAUAUAAGCUGUCUCUAUAUGAUAAUAUAUAAUUUAACUUUUGAGUCAAAAGGCUUAAAUAAAUAUAAAAGACGAGAAGACCCUAUAGAGCUUUAUAUAUAAUUGUACUUAUAUUAUUUGGAGGUAUUAAAAAUGAGUAGGAAUUAUAUAUUUUGUUGGGGUGACAUGAAGAUAUAAUAAACUCUUUAUUAUUUAAACAUUGAUUUAUGAUUAAUUGAUCCAUUAUUAAUGAUUAUAAGAAAAAGUUACCUUAGGGAUAACAGCGUAAUUUUUUUUGAGAGUUCUUAUCGACAAGAAAGAUUGCGACCUCGAUGUUGGAUUAAGGAAUAUGACUAGGUGCAGAAGUUUAGUUAAUAAGUCUGUUCGACUUUUAAAUCCUUACAUGAUCUGAGUUCAGACCGGCGUAAGCCAGGUCGGUUUCUAUCUUUAUAUAUUGAUAGUUAAAUGCUUUAGUACGAAAGGACCAAGCAUUGGGAAAAUUUUUUAGAGUUUGAAUGAUAUUAAAAU
rnacentral:rRNA from 1 species